GAGUGGACUCCUACGGGAGGCAGCAGUGGGGAAUAUUGGACAAUGGACCAAAAGUCUGAUCCAGCAAUUCUGUGUGCACGAUGAAGUUUUUCGGAAUGUAAAGUGCUUUCAGUUGGGAAGAAGAAAGUGACGGUACCAACAGAAGAAGUGACGGCUAAAUACGUGCCAGCAGCCGCGGUAAUACGUAUGUCACAAGCGUUAUCCGGAUUUAUUGGGCGUAAAGCGCGUCUAGGCGGUUAAUUAAGUCUGAUGUGAAAAUGCGGAGCUCAACUCCGUAUUGCGUUGGAAACUGGUUAACUAGAGUACUGGAGAGGUAAGCGGAACUACAAGUGUAGAGGUGAAAUUCGUAGAUAUUUGUAGGAAUGCCGAUGGGGAAGCCAGCUUACUGGACAGAUACUGACGCUAAAGCGCGAAAGCGUGGGUAGCAAACAGGAUUAGAUACCCUUGUAGUCCUAUC
rnacentral:rRNA from 1 species